rnacentral:hammerhead_ribozyme from 1 species
AUCCAGUUGACGAGUCCCAAAUAGGACGAACUACGCGUCCUGGUU